GCAAUCUGCUGUGAAAUCUGUCACCCUGUUGAUCGCUAGGGUUGAUUUGGCUGAUCUGGCUGGCUAGGCAGCUGUCCUCUUCCUC
rnacentral:sRNA from 1 species